rnacentral:rRNA from 1 species
AUUGAACGCUGGCGGCAGGCUUAACACAUGCAAGUCGAGCGGGGGAAGGUAGCUUGCUACCGGACCUAGCGGCGGACGGGUGAGUAAUGCUUAGGAAUCUGCUCAUUAGUGGGGGACAACAGACCGAAAGGGAUGCUAAUACCGCAUACGUCCUACGGGCGAAACCAGGUGGACGUCGGACCUUUCGCUAAUAGCCGAUCGUGAGUCGGAUUAGCUAGUUGGUGGGGUAAAGGCCUACCAAGGCGACGAUCUGUAGCGGGUCUGAGGGGAUGAUCCGCCACACUGGGACUGCGACACGGCCCAGACUCCUACGGGAGGCAGCAGUGGGGAAUAUUGGACAAUGGGGGGAACCCUGAUCCAGCCAUGCCGCGUGUGUGAAGAAGGCCUUAUGGUUGUAAAGCACUUUAAGCGAGGAGGAGGCUACUCUAGUUAAUACCUAGGGAUAGUGGACGUUACUCGCAGAAUAAGCACCGGCUAACUCUGUGCCAGCAGCCGCAGUAA